AAGUCGUAACAAGGUUUCCGUAGGUGAACCUGCGGAAGGAUCAUUAUCGAGUUUAUUGGACGGGUUGUCGCUGGCCUUUACCGGCAAUGUGCACGCCUGGCUCAAUUUUCCACUCUUUAACCACUGUGCACUUUUUGUAAGAUUGGCUGUAGGGGAAUUAUUGCUCUUGGUAACACAGGAUGAAAUAACAUACCCAAAGGCCUCUCUUAUGUUUACUACAAACGCUUCAGUUAUUAGAAUGUCAUACUUGUGUUAUAACACAUUUAUAUACAACUUUCAGCAACGGAUCUCUUGGCUCUC
rnacentral:misc_RNA from 1 species